UUUGACGUCGUCGGCUACGAGACGAACGCUGGCGGCGUGCCUAAUACAUGCAAGUCGAGCGAAUCUGAGGGAGCUUGCUCCCGAAGAUUGCGGCGGACGGGUGAGUAACACGUGGGUAACCUGCCUGUAAGAUCGGGAUAACUCCGGGAAACCGGAGCUAAUACCGGAUAACAUCUCGAACCACAUGGUUCGAGAUUGAAAGAUGGUUUCGGCUAUCACUUACAGAUGGACCCGCGGCGCAUUAGCUAGUUGGUGAGGUAACGGCUCACCAAGGCAACGAUGCGUAGCCGACCUGAGAGGGUGAUCGGCCACACUGGGACUGAGACACGGCCCAGACUCCUACGGGAGGCAGCAGUAGGGAAUCUUCCGCAAUGGACGAAAGUCUGACGGAGCAACGCCGCGUGAGCGAAGAAGGCCUUCGGGUCGUAAAGCUCUGUUGUUAGGGAAGAACAAGUACGAGAGUAACUGCUCGUACCUUGACGGUACCUAACCAGAAAGCCACGGCUAACUACGUG
rnacentral:rRNA from 1 species